rnacentral:piRNA from 1 species
UGGACUUGAUGGACUAUGGUGGUA